rnacentral:piRNA from 1 species
UUGCUGGCUUAGUAAACUAUCGAAAUA